rnacentral:lncRNA from 1 species
CUUGGCCUGGGGCUAUCCCAACCGAGUCCGCCAAGGUUGUUAAAAAGUCAUGUACGCAUAAAUCAUGUUUUUAUUUUGAAAACAUAGCCGUUCCUUGGCGUUGGCUGAGUUGACCCUCAUGUGGUGGUUUUGGCUUGAAGUGAACUCUAAAGUUGUACCUCGAGAGUUACCCUACACGCCUCUCCGACCGAGGUAAGAAUAUAAUGGGGUUACCGUGCCCCUCUAAUAGGCUGGUCCACGGAACCCGCCCACUGCAGCAAGCUAAACCCACCAAUUCAAAAAAAU